ACACAUGCAAGUCGAGGGGAAACGACAUCGAAAGCUUGCUUUUGAUGGGCGUCGACCGGCGCACGGGUGAGUAACGCGUAUCCAACCUGCCCAUCACUUGGGGAUAACCUUGCGAAAGUAAGACUAAUACCCAAUGACGUCUCUAGAAGACAUCUGAAAGAGAUUAAAGAUUUAUCGGUGAUGGAUGGGGAUGCGUCUGAUUAGCUUGUUGGCGGGGUAACGGCCCACCAAGGCGACGAUCAGUAGGGGUUCUGAGAGGAAGGUCCCCCACAUUGGAACUGAGACACGGUCCAAACUCCUACGGGAGGCAGCAGUGAGGAAUAUUGGUCAAUGGGCGAGAGCCUGAACCAGCCAAGUAGCGUGCAGGAUGACGGCCCUAUGGGUUGUAAACUGCUUUUAUAAGGGAAUAAAGUGAGUCUCGUGAGACUUUUUGCAUGUACCUUAUGAAUAAGGACCGGCUAAUUCCGUGCCAGCAGCCGCGGUAAUACGGAAGGUCCGGGCGUUAUCCGGAUUUAUUGGGUUUAAAGGGAGCGUAGGCCGGAGAUUAAGCGUGUUGUGAAAUGUAGACGCUCAACGUCUGCACUGCAGCGCGAACUGGUUUCCUUGAGUACGCACAAAGUGGGCGGAAUUCGUGGUGUAGCGGUGAAAUGCUUAGAUAUCACGAAGAACUCCGAUUGCGAAGGCAGCUCACUGGAGCGCAACUGACGCUGAAGCUCGAAAGUGCGGGUAUCGAACAGGAUUAGAUACCCUGGUAGUCCGCACGGUAAACGAUGGAUGCCCGCUGUUGGUCUGAAUAGGUCAGCGGCCAAGCGAAAGCAUUAAGCAUCCCACCUGGGG
rnacentral:rRNA from 1 species